rnacentral:rRNA from 1 species
CGUCUAGGCGGAUUAGUCAGUCAGAUGUGAAACCCCCCGGCUCAACCGGGGAACUGCAUUUGAUACUACUAACCUUGAGUACGAAAGAGGAAAGCGGAAUUCCUGGUGUAGCGGUGAAAUGCGUAGAUAUCAGGAAGAACACCGGUGGCGAAGGCGGCUUUCUGGUUCGAUACUGACGCUAAAGCGCGAAAGUGUGGGGAGCAAACA